UGAAGAGCAUACCGCAGGACAGGGA
rnacentral:piRNA from 1 species